CAAAUCAGGUAGGACUACCCGCUGAACUUAAGCAUAUCAAUAAGCGGAGGAAAAGAAACUAACAAGGAUUCCCCUAGUAACUGCGAGUGAAGCGGGAAAAGCUCAAAUUUAAAAUCUGGCAGUCUUGGGCUGUCCGAGUUGUAAUCUAGAGAAGUGUUAUCCGCGCUGGACCGUGUACAAGUCUCCUGGAAUGGAGCGUCAUAGAGGGUGAGAAUCCCGUCUUUGACACGGACUACCAGGGCUUUGUGAUGCGCUCUCAAAGAGUCGAGUUGUUUGGGAAUGCAGCUCAAAAUGGGUGGUAAAUUCCAUCUAAAGCUAAAUAUUGGCGAGAGACCGAUAGCGAACAAGUACCGUGAGGGAAAGAUGAAAAGAACUUUGGAAAGAGAGUUAAACAGUACGUGAAAUUGCUGAAAGGGAAACGCUUGAAGUCAGUCAUGUUGGCCAGGAAUUAGCCCAGCAUUUUUCUUGCUGGGUGCACAGUCCUGGUUUGGCAGGUCAGCAUCAAUUUUGACCAAUGGAUAAAAGUGUGGGGAAUGUGGCAUCUUUUUUGAUGUGUUAUAGACUCAUGCUGGAUGUAUUGGUUGGGAUUGAGGAAUUCAGCACGCCGAAAGGCCGGGAGUUUAUCCACGUUCGUGCUUAGGAUGCUGGCAUAAUGGCUUUAAUCGACCCGUCUUGAAACACGGACCAAGGAGUCUAACAUGCAUGCGAGUAUUUGGGUGGAAAACCCAUGUGCGCAAUGAAAGUGAAAAUUA
rnacentral:rRNA from 1 species